GAUGAAGAACGCAGCGAAAUGCGAUACGUAAUGUGAAUUGCAGAAUUCAGUGAAUCAUCGAAUCUUUGAACGCACAUUGCGCCUGCCAGCACUCUGGCAGGCAUGCCUGUUCGAGCGUCAUUUCAACCAUCAAGCCCUAGGCUUGCGUUGGAGCCCUGCGGCUGCCGCAGGCCCCUAAAAGCAGUGGCGGGCUCGCUAUCACACCGAGUGCAGUAGAUUACUCUUCGCCCAGGGCGUGUGGCGGGUUCCAGCCGUGAAACCCCCUACUUCUCAAGGUUGACCUCGGAUCAGGUAGGAAUACCCGCUGAACUUAAGCAUAUCAAUAAGCGGAGGA
rnacentral:misc_RNA from 1 species